rnacentral:lncRNA from 1 species
CCCGUAGAACUCAACCAGCCACCAAUCAAUCAGAUCUUUCUCCAGACCUGAGUUUGAAUCUUUUUGAACCAUCCACUAGACUUGACCACCUUUUUUAAGACUUCUCAAACCUUUAGAGCUAUUAGGAUUAGGCUUGUCCUAAAAGAACAAGCCUUGUCCUAAAACCUAGAGUUGUAAGAGAGGGAGAGAGGGAGUGAAUAGGGGAUGUAAGAAUUGAAUGAUCACCCCAUCUGCCGUCUCCUAUUUAUAGCACCAGAUGGGGUACUAAUAGAGAAGGC